rnacentral:lncRNA from 1 species
AGCCAAUCAGCGCCCUGCUCUGUGCCUCCACCAGCAGCACCCCCGUGGAUCACGUGACCCCUUUGCCUCGGCCUUGGGGGGCAUGUCAGUGAGUUAUCGCGAGAAGGGACGGAAGCCUGUUGGGGACCUGGCCUUUAAUGUGCGGUUCGACCCGUCUGCCCGGGGGUCCUCUCAAUAGCUAAAACCUCUGACCUACUUGUGGCCCACCAAGAAGACGUUUUAUGUGAGGCAGCACUGGUGUCCAGACAUUCAAAGCAUGAUGGUUAUAUUCUAGGGCUUGAAAAUCUUCCCUGAUGCGAUCCUCUCUUGCCUCAGGAUUAAGUUUGCUAAUUGGAGCUUUCCGCUUGUGUUCUAGGAAUCUGAGAGAAGCUGUUCCAGCCCCUCCAGUUCAUUGCCAUGAAAAGGAGAAUGUGAUUAAACUGCUCACCUUAUGAAAUUUGGCUUACAUGUGAAUCUGCCAGGU